rnacentral:lncRNA from 1 species
AGUAAUACUAGCAUUUGCACACCGUGCAAUGCACGAGAAACUUUAAACUUUUAUAUUUAUAUAAAAUUGAUAUCAACUCAAUUAUCAUAUUUAUAAAUAUAAUUAAAAAAUAGUUUUAACUUAAUAUAUUUGAAAUGUAUAUUGAAAAAAUAAAAAAAAAUUACAAUAAUAAAAAUUGAUAUAAUGAAAAGAAAAAAAUUACAAUAUACUCCCCCUGUCCCAUGAAGCAAGAUCAAAUUUCCUUUUUGGCCUGUCCCACGAAGCAAGACCAGUUUCUAAAAGUAGCAAAAAAUUUACUCUUUAUUCACCUUUUCACUUUUUCAUCACCACACGUAACACACAAAAU